CACCGCCUGGGGAGUACGACCGCAAGGUUAAAACUCAAAUGAAUUGACGGGGACCCGCACAAGUAGUGGAGCAUGUGGUUUAAUUCGAAGAUACGCGCAGAACCUUACCAACACUUGACAUGUUCGUCGCGACUCUAAGAGAUUAGAGUUUUCGGUUCGGCCGGACGAAACACAGGUGCUGCAUGGCUGUCGUCAGCUCGUGUCGUGAGAUGUUGGGUUAAGUCCCGCAACGAGCGCAACCCUCACUUUUAGUUGCCAUCAUUUAGUUGGGCACUCUGAAAGAACUGCCAGUGAUAAGCUGGAGGAAGGUGGGGAUGACGUCAAGUCCUCAUGGCCCUUACGUGUUGGGCUACACACGUGCUACAAUGGUAUCUACAACAGGAAGCAAGACGGCGACGUCAAGCAAAUCCUUAAAAGAUACCUCAGUUCGGAUUGCACUCUGCAACUCGAGUGCAUGAAGCUGGAAUUACUAGUAAUCGUGGAUCAGCGUGCCACGGUGAAUGCGUUCCCGGGUCUUGUACACACCGCCCGUCACACCAUGGGAGUUGGUUCUACCUUAAGGCAAGGUUUAAAACCCUUGACCACGGUAUAGUCAGCGACUGGGGUGAAGUCGUAACAAGGUAGCCGUAGGGGAACCUGCGGCUGGAUUACCUCCUUUCUAAGGAUGAAUGAAAUUAAAAUUUUAUUCUAAAUAAUAUACAUUGGUAAUGUUGACCGUCCUCAUUUCUCUUCUUGAAGUAGUGUUUCUCUUGCAUGGGGGCCGGUAGCUCAGUUGGUUAGAGCACACCCUUGAUAAGGGUGGGGUCGAAAGUUCGAGUCUUUCUCGGCCCACCAAUUUAAGAUUAAGGGGGAUUAGCUCAGCUGGGAGAGCGCCUGAUUUGCAUUCAGGAGGUCAGCGGUUCGAUCCCGCUAUCCUCCACCAAAACACUUAGUUAUAAAAAUUGUAAAUAAAAAUAAUAAUUAAUAUCAAUAUCUAUAUCCGAACAUUAGUAAUAUUAUUAGCUAAUGUUCAAAAUAAAAAUUUGAUUCAACACAGAAUUUUUUUCUG
rnacentral:sRNA from 1 species